AUGAGAACUCACUAUCACAAGAACAGCAUGAGGGUAACUGCCCCCUUGAUCCCAUCACCUCCCACCAGGGCCCUCCCACGACACAUGGGGAUUAUGGAAACUACAAUUCAAGAUAAGAUUUGGGUGGGGACACCUCCCAACCAUAUCAGCCCCCUUCUCAGCUCCCAGAUACACAAAGCAAACAACCAAAACCACAGCAAUAAUUCUCCAUCAAGACAUUCAUCGUCUUUAUGUUGGCCUCUGCUGCCUGUGGAACCCUUCUUGCAUGAUGGCGCCUCCCCAAGACCAGCCUCACUAACCAAGCCCUACUCUCCAGAACUUUCUUUUCUCCCCUUCCCAAUAAAAAUGUUCUGUAUAAUUUCCCAUUCUCAAGAGACCUGCUUUCAACUACCUAUAUAUUCAAAAAAUCUGUCUGACACUGUUCCCUUUAGGAUAAUAAUAAUCAUGCACACUAGGUAGCACAUGUCAGGUUACAAUUUGGUGCAAAGAAAGAUGUGGAACUGCAACACCAAAGUCCCAGAUCCAGCCAUAAUCAUGUAACCUUGGGGAAGAUUUCGCUCUCAAAUAAAUCAUAAUUUGAUAAGGUGGAUAAGACAACAAAUACACAGUAGACUGGCAACUACCAAAGGAAGGUGCAAAGUGCUUCAGGAAUCAAGAACAGAAGAGCUCCCAUCCAGCUGGACAUGAGCUUCAGGAACAGUCUUUCAGAGGAAGCCACCCUGGUUUACAGUAAACUCACUCCUUGCUGGAGUCACACUUGAAACCAAGUAGCUAUACCCACAACCACUCCAUCCAGGGACAAGAACUGUGUUCAUGCAGACUCAUGCCAUGUUGUUUUCCCUCUCGGCUCUGCUCAGAGUGAAGUUUGUCAUGCAGCAAUGAGAAAUGAGAAAUGAGAAAAUGAGAAAAGAAAGAAAAUGAGAAAAGAAAAGAAAAGAAAAGAAAAGGAGAAAAGAAAAUGGCUUAAAGUCAUUCUGACAUAAGUAGCUGCAGACAAGAACUGUCAUCAUUGUCCCUGCAAACUCCUCUUGAAGAAGCAUUGCAAGAUGUGUGCAAGGGGUGUAUGCCUGUGUGUGAAUGAGGACAAGCAGGUGUGCAGCUCUUCUAUGAUUCUUGCCUCAAACUAACUAGAUAGCCUUCCUGCCUAUCAGUAAAUAAGGGCAUACUGAGCAUUUGCUGUGAGCCAGGCUCCAUGAUGAGGCUAUAAACGACGCACUCAGGAGCUUGGAGUCCAGAUGGUCAUAGAGCAUUAAACAAAUAAUGACAAGUGCCGACAUAAAGCAUAGUUACAAGUUUAAGACUAAAGCCUACACAGCUGCCAUACAGUGAUUCUACCUCUGUUCUAUGGUUCUAGGAUGUACUGCUGCAAGGAAAAGCAUUAUUACUCUUGUCCUUGUAUUGGGUUGUGUUGCAAAUGCCUGUCUCAGCUCCUUGAAGACAGUCCAGUGGCCUCAGCAUGGAGUCCUCACACAGUCCCUGGGACCACUGUACUAAGCAGUGGUUCUCAGCCUGUAUGAACAAACGGAUCACCUGGGGUACUAGAGGGUAGAUACCUGGCCUCACUCUCCCAGAAAUUCUGAUUCUAUGGAUCUAUGCUGUGUUUGAAAAACCCACCUGAGUAUUUGAAAACCCACUUCACAUAGCAGCAGACAGUAUAUGAACUACCCCUCAAGAAACCCUGUGACCUAGAGAGCAAUGAACUAAAACCUCCAGUUUUCCUUAUUCAAAUUAAAAAUGUAAUUUGAUAUGCUACAUUCACUUCAGAAUAUCUCAAAAAACAUACACAAAUAUUCACAAAAUAGAAUACCUUUUCUUGCCUUCAAAAGACAGUAAGUUGCAAACGAUUACAUUCUGAAAAUAGAGGAAAGUUCACAAUCCUGCUAUUUAAACUCUUUGUAAUGAGGUUUUUUUUUUAAAUAUAGAACUUUAAUAUGUGCUCCAAAUGCAUAAAAAGAUUAUUCAUUUAUCGUUCAGUUUUUUAAAAUAUUCACUGGUAAAUCCCUCCUUUAGGAAGCAUAAAUAAAUAUCUAAGUGUAAAAAAUAUGCUAAGCCAAGUACUAAAUACUGCCAACAAUUCAUAAUGGAAAUAAAAUCAGCUUCAAAAUCCAAGCUAAACCACAGAUUAAAC
ensembl:lncRNA